rnacentral:rRNA from 1 species
GACGUAGGGAGCAAGCGUUGUCCGGAAUUACUGGGCGUAAAGAGCUCGUAGGUGGGAGCGUAAGUCCGAGAGGAAAUCUCAAGGCUCAACUUUGGGGCUUUCUCGGAUACUGCGUUUCUUGAGGAUAUCAGAGGAAAGUAGAAUUCCCGGUGUAGCGGUGAAAUGCGUAGAUAUCGGGAGGAAUACCAGUGGCGAAGGCGACUUUCUGGGAUAUUCCUGACGCUGAGGAGCGAAAGCGUGGGGAGCAAACGGG